UUUACCUCUAUGGUGUCAUUCUAGGAUAGAGUUUAUAAAGCGGAAAGUAUCAACUGCAUACUCAAUCAAGUAACACUUGAAAUGCUUAGUUCUUCAUUUUGACUGAAUUUCCCUCCAUGUAUUGAGUAUUCACCUUGUCUUAACAGACAAUAUGAAGAAAAUUUGCUUUUUGAUCUAAGGUAUGAUAAUUGCAUAGAGGACGUCUGGCAAAACUAGAGAGUCAUUUAGUAGAUCUAUCAAGAAGUAUGUCUCUACGUACUUCUCAAUAAUGCCACUUUUUAAUGGCAUUUUUAAGCUUAACCAAACACGCUACAAGUUCCCUUAGUCUAAAUUGCUAUAAAUAUAUUGUCCCUGGAUCAAAAUCAUAAAGUUUAAACUUUCUAGUGAGUUGGGAUUUUAGUUUGGGUAGUCAUCAAGUUCGUCCCAAUUACUGGUGAUCACUAGGGUCUAUUUCUUUUGCAGAUAUAAUUGUCAAAAAUCUCAAGUUCUCAUAUUUCAGUUUUUAGGUAUAUGAACUAGGACGAAAUACAGUUUCUUUUCCCACAGCUCAUUAAAUUCUGCAAUAAAACAACGAAGUUGAGUUCAGAACCUUGUAUCUGAGGGUGGAUUAGUCAAUUCGAGUACCACUGACUCACACAUGGUAGUUGCUAUAGUAGGAGGCCUACAAUAACAUUAUGCAUAGUUUUAAAUUCCAUAUUGGGGUAUAUAUGCAUGCUGUAAUACAAGAAAAUCAUCUAUUUUGUUACUAUCAUUUCUUUAAUUUCAUUUUUUUUUCCCAAUCUACACAUGAAAAUUUUAUAUUCUAGAUCAAAUUAUAUAUAAAAUUCAAUAAUCAAGUACAAAAUAUCCAAUGUCGACAUGGAAAAUAUAUUUAAUGCCAAAUAAUUAAAAACUUCAAUUUUAUCUCAAUUUUAUUGUUUGAUACUUGGAAACCUUUACAUAACUUUCUAAGCAAUGAUCCACUGCUCUUACUAGUUACCCAUCGAUUCAAACAGUGACCUGUGACCUUGACCUGUUCAAUGUCUGAUUUGGGUCUGAAAACUAAGUGAAACACAGGAAGAAAGUCUUGGAUUUCGAUGUUUCAUUAAAAAUAUGGGAUUUGCAGGUGAUCAUUUAGUUCCUUUGAACUUCCCAAUGAACUGAGCCCAUAGAGGAUCAUGUGUUCUACAUCCUUUGCUUUGUCUAGAUAACAAAUCAAAGCCCUAUUAGUUGUAGCCAAAAAUAACCACAUACACACACAUUCAUGUGUAAAUGCAUGAUUUUUUUCAAGAAAUGCUUAGUAGGUGUCGAUAUGGUUGUUACUGUGGCAUGACCAGAAUGGGGCUACACGUUUGCCACUAUGCUCUGUAGAAGGGGUUGCUAGGACUGCCAUUGAAAGAAAAGGAAAUAAAAUAACAAAAACACUAAGGGGUCACCUUAACUAUUAUAGUUUGUUAAAACCAGAUGAUAUGUUGCAUAUUUUCUUGGAUAAGCUGGGCAUGAAACUGCAUCCUGUUAAAUAUUGCAAUGUUUUGGUUGUUUGAUAUAGAGCUUGUCCUUGUUUGUCUUUCAUCAUUGUGAUGCAAAUUGGAAAGUAUAUUCUAGGCAUAAACAGAAUCAAAUCAAUUAAGGAUUGAAUUUUCAUUAUUGCAUUUUAUUGUUUUUCGUAGAAUAGUAAAUUUGUCUCCUUUUAAAAGGAAAUCCAAGUUCUCCUUUUCAUUUUUAUUUAGGACCUAUAAAUUGAGGUUUUUUGGUUGUAAGAAGACAGACCUGAAUAUUGAAUAAACCUACAAUCUUUCCCUCAUUUCUCUCGUCCUACUUCUUUCUCCUUCUUUAUUGCUCUCGUUCAUUGCCAUCGGCAUCACAUUGUUUCUAACUUAUGCAGAUGUGAGUUCAGAAUACAAGUGGAGAGUAUGAACUUUCUUGCUGUGCAAAUGAAAAGCUCAAUUUUUAUCAACAUCCCCUGGGAUUAUAUCAUAAAAAAAUGUAGAUUGAACAUGACUACCGACAAUUUGAAUACUCCUUGAAGAAGAAUGGUAAGCGUGAGAAGAACAACAAAGUGGAAAGGGUGACAAUAAAUAGAUGCGGGUGGGAGUCAAGGACUGGUGGAUCAAGACCGAAUAUUCGUACCUAGACCAGCCAACCAUAAACACGGCAGAUAAUCCUAGGGUAUGAUAUUCCUAUACUCCAAAUCUUAUGUGACGAGUCCAAUCCCCAACAAGAUCCAACAGAUGUAUUUGUUUGAUAUUUAAUUUUGAUACGAAUUGGACAUGAUUCGAUACGCUUUCAACAUGUUUCUGGCAUAUAAAUGUCUUUCUAAUAUACCAUGUGAUGUGCCUUGUAUGUUUAAUUUUUGACACAGAAAUUGUGUCUAUACAUCGUUUACAUUUUUCUUCCUCAUUUCUAAUGGAAUUAAGCUUUGUUGUUAGAUGAAUUUGGCAUUUUUAUUGAUAGAAGAUGUGUAAAAAAAUGAUUGGAUGACAUUGUUGACUAUUUUUUAAAUGGUCGAAUAAAAUUCUACUACGUGGCUUUUUGGUCA